rnacentral:lncRNA from 1 species
AAAGAAAGAAAGAAAGAAAGAAAGAAAGAAAGAAAGAAAGAAAGAAAGCAAACAAAGGAAGGAAGGAAGGAAGGAAGGAAGGAAGGAAGGAAGGAAGGAAGGAAGGAAGGAAGGAAAGAGGGCAUUGCUUCAAAUCUGUUGGAGAUAUGUAAUUUAAAAAUCUCAUUGGAUAUUUCUAAUACACUACUAAUGAUACCUUAGAAACUGGCUCAAUGAUAGAGGGAUUUCUAAGCAGUGUAAUUUCUACAUUCGAUGAACAGCUCCAUGAAUAUGCAAUAUAAAGAAUGAUUGCAGCUAACAUUGUUUCUAAUAAGGCUUAUUCCAAUCUCUGGGUUGCUUUUAAUAAUCACAUAGUCAUUCAGAAGAUUUGUUCUCCUGCUCCAUUUUGAAGGCUGUUCUGUGCUUCAUAAAAUCAGUUCAUAUAAAACCACUGAGUUGAUUUUUCAUUUUGCCUUUUCUGGAUACCUAGGGAUACAAUUGCAACUUGUCAUUUAUUCUAUAUGCAUUUUUGAAAGAUAACAUUUUUUUGUAUUUUGGGGCUGUUGUAAAUAAAAUGCUGUAAUUACAUAGCUUAUAAACAACAAACAACUGUCACAUCCCAACCUAGAGGCUGAGAAGGCCAAGUAGAGCCAGCAGAGGUGGGUUCUAGUGUGAGCACACACUUCCUGCCUCACAGAUGAUGGUCUUGCUGUGCUUUCUCCUGUCAGAUGGGCAAAGGAUGUUCUUGGAGGCCUCUUUUAUGAGCACAAUAAGCCAAACCUGAGAGUCAGAGCCCUCAAUGUGAGCCCUUCACACAGGCUCCGCCACCACACACCCCCGUCUUGUGACUAAAUCUCAACAUAAUGGACUGGGAGAGUGGAUGGCACAAGGGUUCUGACUGUCACACCUGGGUGCGUGUCAUUCAAUAAGAGCAAUGAUGACUUGUUCCACCUAGAAAGUGCUCUGAAUAGAGAGGCAUCUCAAUGCAAUUUCUUCACCAUUACUCACUCAUCUUUUUGUGAUAUCACUUUCCUUUAUUAUCCAGAAACAUAAGUGGAGGAGGGAGAGCUACAGGGCAUGGAUCCACAGAAGAGGAAGUAGGAUAUCACUGUGAUAUAUUCUUUGUUUGUUUGUUUGUUUGUUUGUUUGUUUGUUUGAACUGAGUGUCAGAGAUCCUAGCAGGGUUCUACUCUAUGGACUGGAUGCCUCUUCUGUGAGGUCUUGAAUUCAUGGAAGUGAUUAAAAUCUGAUUUGGAUAGAUUAGCAUAUCUCAGAGAUUUCUAAUUAACUGAGAUUCUCUUCCCCUUGUCUUUUUUUCUCCCUCUUUCUUUUCAUUUUCAUUUUCAUUUUUUUUCUUGCCUUGAUUUUUGUUUUUAUUAAGUCAUUUUUUUUCUUUGUUAGGCAGAAUCUCACAUCAUAACCCCAAAUGACCUGUUACUCACCAUGUGGCCCAGCUGUCUUCAAACUCACCAGCCUCCUGCCUUAGCCUUCUAAAUGCUUGGAUUACAGGCAUGACCCACCAUAACUGGCUUUGUUUUAGUUUCAGAGAAGAUGAAACUGAUGUGCGUCAAAAAGUAAACUACCCACAUUUUAACUGGGCACAUUCCUGUCAAUCUGAUGAGAAUCUAUUUCAUACCCUGCUUUAGCUGGUAGUCUGUCAAGGAAAUGAGCUGAACAUGUCUGUGUACAGCUUUUGUGCCAUCCCUGGAUGAGCGAGCUGUCUGCCUCUAUGUUCUCCACAAAAUGGAAUAUAGCUGUACACCCAAGCCAAGUUAUGGAGGCUGGGAAGACCUAGAAUGUGGCAUCACUAUUUGCUGAAAUUUUUAAUAUAAUGCCUCUUAGCCUGGUUUGGAGAAAACGUCACAGAGAGGCACCAUUUGUUGUGGUUUUACAUGAAAAUUUUCUGACCCUGAACCUGGUUUGAUGGAAAUCAUUUGCUGAGGAAACCAUGCCGAUUACCGACCGAGCUCUCAAUGGAAAAAUGCAGUCGGCGUGAACCACGCACGAACACAGCAGAGAAAGAAGAAAACACACACCACGAGGAACCCUAAUAGGACAAUACAUUAUAAGCCUCAUGGUACAUCCACUUGGUGUGCUGGGAGAGUCAGGAUGAGGACCUGAGAAGAACAGCAGCUUGAACCUGACUUCAUUUAACAGCCCACUGCCCUCUUGCCAAGAACCCAUCACAGACCUUCCCAGAAGAGAGGGAUGAGCCUCACCUAUGAAUAAGUCCUCAGAAACUCAAAUUUGAUUCUAAUGGAUUGUUUUCUCAGAAAGACUGAGCAUGUCCCCCCACAUCUCUGUCAUUUCCCACAGUAGUAACCUCUGCAGAUGCCACAUAGAAAACAAAACAAAACAAAAAAACAUGAGGUUGGUGGGCAGAUAGGCAGGGUAUAAACAAACAGCCUUGUAACCCAGAAGCUGUGUGAUAUACAGUAAACUUCACAACACUGAAAAGAUGUCCUAUCUGUUAAAAUGGGGUAAUAACAACUACCCGAAUGUUUAGGAAUAGAACUUCAAUAAAUGAUACAUUUUAUAGUACAGCAGACCAUCCUGUAAAGGUUUCAUCCUUCACUGUGGUGAUAAAUAUCCCAAACCACAUUGAAAAGCAUUGCAUCUACAUUUAUCUACACUGUAACUGUACUGUAAAUCAUGGGGGAGGGGAGAAUCAUAAAAACACCACCUGUCACCGUGUCAUUAAAGCAAGUUGGAAGUGAUACUUACAGAAACACAGCAAGAGCACCCCCAGUCACACAGUUCAAUCUCUUAGCAAGCGUUUUCUUUCUAGCCCAGUGGUUCUCAGUUUGGAAUUUUUGGCACUGCCUAGAGAUAGUUUUGUUGUUAAAACUGAGAAAAGAGCCGGGCGUGGUGGCACACGCCUUUAAUCCCAGCACUCAGGAGGCAGAGGCAGG